UGCAGUCGAGCGAAUCACUGGGAGCUUGCUCCCAGAGGUUAGCGGCGGACGGGUGAGUAACACGUGGGCAACCUGCCUGUAAGACUGGGAUAACUUCGGGAAACCGGAGCUAAUACCGGAUAAUACUUUUCUGCUCAUGCAGAAAAGCUGAAAGAUGGCUAUCUGCUAUCACUUACAGAUGGGCCCGCGGCGCAUUAGCUAGUUGGUGAGGUAACGGCUCACCAAGGCAACGAUGCGUAGCCGACCUGAGAGGGUGAUCGGCCACACUGGGACUGAGACACGGCCCAGACUCCUACGGGAGGCAGCAGUAGGGAAUCUUCCGCAAUGGACGAAAGUCUGACGGAGCAACGCCGCGUGAGUGAUGAAGGUUUUCGGAUCGUAAAACUCUGUUGUUAGGGAAGAACAAGUACCGGAGUAACUGCCGGUACCUUGACGGUACCUAACCAGAAAGCCACGGCUAACUACGUGCCAGCAGCCGCGGUAAUACGUAGGUGGCAAGCGUUGUCCGGAAUUAUUGGGCGUAAAGCGCGCGCAGGCGGUCCUUUAAGUCUGAUGUGAAAGCCCACGGCUCAACCGUGGAGGGUCAUUGGAAACUGGGGGACUUGAGUGCAGAAGAGGAGAGUGGAAUUCCACGUGUAGCGGUGAAAUGCGUAGAGAUGUGGAGGAACACCAGUGGCGAAGGCGACUCUCUGGUCUGUAACUGACGCUGAGGCGCGAAAGCGUGGGGAGCGAACAGGAUUAGAUACCCUGGUAGUCCACGCCGUACACGAUGAGUGCUAAGUGUUAGAGGGUUUCCGCCCUUUAGUGCUGCAGCUAACGCAUUAAGCACUCCGCCUGGGGGAGUACGGCCGCAAGGCUGAAACUCAAAGGAAUUUGACGGGGGCCCGCACAAGCGG
rnacentral:rRNA from 1 species